CUAAGGCUCCAGAGGAAGCCACGGCUAACUCUGUGCCAGCAGCCGCGGUAAUACAGAGGCGGCAAGCGUUGUUCGGAAUUAUUGGGCGUAAAGAGCACGUAGGCGGCCUUGCAAGUCAGUUGUGAAAGCCUUCCGCUUAACGGAAGAAUGCCAGCUGAUACUACAGGGCUUGAGUACGGGAGGGGAGGGUGGAACUUCUGGUGGAGCGGUGAAAUGCGUAGAUAUCAGAAGGAACGCCGGCGGCGAAAGCGACUCUCUGGCCCGAAACUGACGCUGAGUGUGCGAAAGCUAGGGGAGCAAACGGGAUUAGAUACCCCGGUAGUCCUAGCCGUAAA
rnacentral:rRNA from 1 species